UACGUAGGGUGCAAGCGUUGUCCGGAAUUAUUGGGCGUAAAGAGCUCGUAGGCGGUCUGUCGCGUCUGCUGUGAAAACUCGGGGCUUAACCCCGGGCCUGCAGUGGGUACGGGCAGACUAGAGUGCGGUAGGGGAGACUGGAAUUCCUGGUGUAGCGGUGAAAUGCGCAGAUAUCAGGAGGAACACCUAUAGCGAAGGCAGCUUGCUGGGACGUUACUGACGCUAAGGCGCGAAAGCUAGGGGAGCGAACAGG
rnacentral:rRNA from 1 species